rnacentral:lncRNA from 1 species
CUUCCUUACAAUCCAGAAGACGCAGAAUCAUUCAACGAAAGAGUAACAAAAUACGCAAGCUUGUUGACGUAUGAUUCGCUUGGAAAAUUAUUAUAUCUUCAUGCAGUAGUUACAGAGACACUUCGACUGUAUCCUGCGGUUCCUCAGGUACAUGAGCCAUUAGAUGUUGAUGAAAAUAGUCAUGCAUAUGUUAUUGAAUCGUGAUACGCACCAUCAAUGUGACAAAGCUAAAGUUUUGUGUAUAGGACCCUAAAGGCAUCUUGGAAGAUGAUGUAUUACCUGAUGGAACAAAAGUAAGAGCUGGAGGCAUGGUAACCUAUGUACCUUACUCAAUGGGCAGAAUGGAAUACAACUGGGGUCCUGAUGCAGCUCAAUUCAAACCUGAAAGAUGGCUUAAAGAUGGUUUCUUCCAAAAUGCCUCCCCUUUCAAAUUCACUGCAUUCCAGGUACACUGAUGCUAAUAGGAUUCAACAAAGACUUUCCUGACAGAACAAGUAGCAGGUCACGGUUGCAUAUACGUAUACUGUCAGAUCGACAGUACACGCAAUGCACCUGAUGAUGAUCACUUGAUUCAGCCAUUGUGAUAUGUAAUGUUAUGUUGUUGAUUGUAGGCUGGACCAAGAAUAUGCUUAGGGAAGGAUUCAGCAUAUCUCCAGAUGAAGAUGACACUAGCUAUCUUGUGUAGAUUCUUUGAAUUCAAAUUAGUACCAAAGCAUCA